rnacentral:rRNA from 1 species
GGCGGCAUGCUUAACACAUGCAAGUCGAACGCUUCAUCGGGGCUUGCUCCGAUGGGGAGUGGCGCACGGGUGAGUAGCGCGUGGGAACCUGCCCAGUAGUGGGGGAUAACCGAGGGAAACUUCGGCUAAUACCGCAUGCGCCCGGGGGUAACUCCGGGGAAAGAUUUAUCGCUAUUGGAGGGGCCCGCGUCGGAUUAGCUAGUUGGUGGGGUAACGGCCUACCAAGGCAGCGAUCCGUAGCUGGUCUGAGAGGAUGAUCAGCCACACUGGGACUGAGACACGGCCCANACUCCUACGGGAGGCAGCAGUGGGGAAUAUUGGACAAUGGGCGCAAGCCUGAUCCAGCAAUGCCGCGUGAGUNAGGAAGGCCUUAGGGUUGUNAAGCUCUUUCACCCACGACGAUNAUNACGGUNGUGGGAGAAGAAGCCCCGGCUAACUUCGUGCCAGCAGCCGCGGU